rnacentral:rRNA from 1 species
UAGUACGGCGAGUGAAGCGGGAAGAGCUCAAAUUUGAAAUCUGGUGGCCUCAGGUCAUCCGAGUUGUAAUCUAUAGAAGUGUUUUCCGUGCUGGCUCAUGUACAAGUCCCUUGGAACAGGGCGUCAUAGAGRGUGAGAAUCCCGUCCUUGACAUGAACUACCAGUGCUCUGUGAUACAUUUUCAACGAGUCGAGUUGUUUGGGAAUGCAGCUCAAAAUGGGUGGUAAAUUCCAUCUAAAGCUAAAUAUUGGCGAGAGACCGAGAGCGAACAAGUACCGUGAGGGAAAGAUGAAAAGCACUUUGGAAAGAGAGUUAAACAGUAUGUGAAAUUGUUGAAAGGGAAACGAUUGAAGUCAGUCGUGCUCUUUGGAUUCAGCCGGUUCUGCCGGUGUACUUCCUUUGAGUGGGGUCAACAUCAGUUUUGAUCGCUGGAUAAAGGCUGGAGGAACGUAGUACCCUCGGGUAAACUUAUAGCCUCCUGUCACAUACAGUGGUUGGGACUGAGGAACGCAGCACGCCUUUAUGGCCGGGAUUCGUCCACGUACGUGCUUAGGAUGUUGACAUAAUGGCUUUAAACGACCCGUC